UAUAUAUAUAUAUAUAUAUAUAUAUAUAUAUAUAUAUAUAUAUAUAUAUAUAUAUAUAUAUAUAUAAUAAACGCUCUGUUUAUGAUUACUAUAAUGCAUUAAAAUAAUAUGAUAAGCAAUAAUAUCAAACGCCAUAAUGGCCUGUUUUUGUACAGCUAAAAUAACUGGAAGCGAAUAAUACUGGAAAUCUCACAUAUUCAAAUUAUAAAUGAUGCCAGUGUGCUUUAACAGUGUGCCAGUAUUCAACUCUGAACAUAGUGUUUAGAAACCCUGUCAUGCUGACUAGGAUUAGUCUGCCACCUAGUGUUCAACACGCGCUUAACCACUAGAUUAUGAACACUGCAUUCAGGUUUAUUAAAUAUGUUAAUAUUUAAGCAGAGAUCUCAGAACAGUAAGUUAUUUUCCAGCACUUUUCACAGCUCAAGUGAUUCCCUGAUACAACUGGAAGUUUCUUCCUCCACUAGUUUACUGUAUGUGCAGAUUUGCGCUUUGAGUUGUGUGUUAAUUAUUUACCUGCUGGUCAGUAUUUAUAUCUGUUGUCGUGUACUACUGAGGGUCCGUUUUGUCGCGGACAGCGGGCCCGAUAUCGCAGCGAUGGUACGUACUCUUGUGGUCAGCAUAGCAUUCCUGUGGCUCUAAUGAAUCUAGUUUCAGCACUGUGUUUACAUUGGGAAAGCAUCAAACGAUAUUUAUUUUUAGUGGGGGGGGGGGUUUCUGUCUUUUCUUAGAAAUAAAUGCUUUUAUGGAUUUUUUUUUUUUCUUUUUUGUAUAGUGUGAACAGAUCUUGUACAGAGCAAUAUUGUUAGUCUGUGUAGCCACACAUUUCUGACUGUUAUGUGAAUAUACUUGUUUCAAUCAAAAACCAUCCUCACACCAGCUAUUCUGGUUAUGCUUUGUAGCCAGUUUCAUCAAAUAAAUAAAUAUCAUAAUAACACAGUUCUUCAGCUAAACUGAGUCAUAAUUUAAGAUUUUGUGAAUUUAUUAAAGUAUAACGUAUUUAGAUUAUACAUGAAAUUGUUUUAAAUGCAUUCAGUUUGAUUUUGGCGUGUAGCUUAAGGAAUACUGAGAUUUUUAUUGUUUGUAAAAUCCUGUUGCUUUUGCCCCUCUGCUGUGCUGAAGUCGAAUCAGUUGCAGCAUGGCUUAUUUCUUCAAUCAGGAUUGAGCUAGAGUGAUGUUAUUUAUGCUGCACAUGCUCCCUCAUCCUUCCUGGAUGAAAGCAACCACGUGACCAUUCAUUCGGCAAAAAAAUAAAAA
ensembl:lncRNA